UUAACUCAUAUUUGUAUGGAAUGGGAUCGUUUGCCUACGUUUGUCGCUAGGGGCGCUGUUGCAACUGCAUACAAAAUUGGGUUA
rnacentral:pre_miRNA from 1 species